UGAACGCUGGCGGCAGGCCUAACACAUGCAAGUCGAACGGUAACAGGAAGCAGCUUGCUGCUUUGCUGACGAGUGGCGGACGGGUGAGUAAUGUCUGGGAAACUGCCUGAUGGAGGGGGAUAACUACUGGAAACGGUAGCUAAUACCGCAUAACGUCGCAAGACCAAAGAGGGGGACCUUCGGGCCUCUUGCCAUCGGAUGUGCCCAGAUGGGAUUAGCUAGUAGGUGGGGUAACGGCUCACCUAGGCGACGAUCCCUAGCUGGUCUGAGAGGAUGACCAGCCACACUGGAACUGAGACACGGUCCAGACUCCUACGGGAGGCAGCAGUGGGGAAUAUUGCACAAUGGGCGCAAGCCUGAUGCAGCCAUGCCGCGUGUAUGAAGAAGGCCUUCGGGUUGUAAAGUACUUUCAGCGGGGAGGAAGGGAGUAAAGUUAAUACCUUUGCUCAUUGACGUUACCCGCAGAAGAAGCACCGGCUAACUCCGUGCCAGCAGCCGCGGUAAUACGGAGGGUGCAAGCGUUAAUCGGAAUUACUGGGCGUAAAGCGCACGCAGGCGGUUUGUUAAGUCAGAUGUGAAAUCCCCGGGCUCAACCUGGGAACUGCAUCUGAUACUGGCAAGCUUGAGUCUCGUAGAGGGGGGUAGAAUUCCAGGUGUAGCGGUGAAAUGCGUAGAGAUCUGGAGGAAUACCGGUGGCGAAGGCGGCCCCCUGGACGAAGACUGACGCUCAGGUGCGAAAGCGUGGGGAGCAAACAGGAUUAGAUACCCUGGUAGUCCACGCCGUAAACGAUGUCGACUUGGAGGUUGUGCCCUUGAGGCGUGGCUUCCGGAGCUAACGCGUUAAGUCGACCGCCUGGGGAGUACGGCCGCAAGGUUAAAACUCAAAUGAAUUGACGGGGGCCCGCACAAGCGGUGGAGCAUGUGGUUUAAUUCGAUGCAACGCGAAGAACCUUACCUGGUCUUGACAUCCACGGAAGUUUUCAGAGAUGAGAAUGUGCCUUCGGGAACCGUGAGACAGGUGCUGCAUGGCUGUCGUCAGCUCGUGUUGUGAAAUGUUGGGUUAAGUCCCGCAACGAGCGCAACCCUUAUCCUUUGUUGCCAGCGGUCCGGCCGGGAACUCAAAGGAGACUGCCAGUGAUAAACUGGAGGAAGGUGGGGAUGACGUCAAGUCAUCAUGGCCCUUACGACCAGGGCUACACACGUGCUACAAUGGCGCAUACAAAGAGAAGCGACCUCGCGAGAGCAAGCGGACCUCAUAAAGUGCGUCGUAGUCCGGAUUGGAGUCUGCAACUCGACUCCAUGAAGUCGGAAUCGCUAGUAAUCGUGGAUCAGAAUGCCACGGUGAAUACGUUCCCGGGCCUUGUACACACCGCCCGUCACACCAUGGGAGUGGGUUGCAAAAGAAGUAGGUAGCUUAACCUUCGGGAGGGCGCUUACCACUUUGUGAUUCAUGACUGGGGUGAAGUCGUAACAAGGUAACCGUAGGGGAACCUGCGGUUGGAUCACCUCCUU
rnacentral:rRNA from 1 species